rnacentral:rRNA from 1 species
GGUUUCCGUAGGUGAACCUGCGGAAGGAUCAUUGUCGAAACCUGCACAGCAGAACGACCAGCGAACAUGUUUUCAUCGGCAACCUAACAAACCCCGACGCGGACUGCGUCAAGGAACAACAACUCUAACGCCCGCGCCGCGCCCGGUAACCCGGGACGGGGGCCGUCCAUAACAAUAAACGACUCUCGGCAACGGAUAUCUCGGCUCUCGCAUCGAUGAAGAACGUAGCGAAAUGCGAUACUUGGUGUGAAUUGCAGAAUCCCGUGAACCAUCGAGUCUUUGAACGCAAGUUGCGCCCGAAGCCUCCGGCUGAGGGCACGUCUGCCUGGGCGUCACGCAUCGCGUCUCCCCUCGCCCGCCGCGGGGGGAGGAUGAUGGCCUCCCGUGCCUCACCGGGCGCGGCUGGCCUAAAAACGGAGCCCCCGGCGACGAGCUGCCGCGGCAUUUGGUGGUCGUCGCGCGCCUCUUCGCCCCUGAAGCUCGAGCGACCCGCGCCGUUGCGAC